UGAACUCUUCCGGAACAACACCAUCACUCUUGACCUAGGCGGCUGCCUAGUGCGGGACUCCACCUCGGUGUUCACGUCAGCUGUGGUGACAGUUUCCAAGCGGUCACUCUCCUGGCCUGGAAGCCUUCACAGUCUGUUACCAGUCGAAUGGCAUGUUUCAAAUUUGACCAGCUUCAUUCUCAAGUGUUGGAAGGCCACAGGUGGCUACGGCCUUGGACAGCACAGGCAUAGAGGCAUCUUGUUGAUACUCCAGAGACUUCAAAUUGUUCGAAGAGAGAAUGCUUUUCAUGCAGACGCCCACUGCCAACUAAACAAACAAAGAAAGGGCUUCCCUGGUGGCUCAGUGAUAAAGAAUCCACCUGCCAAUGCAGGAGACACAGGUUCAACCCCUGGUCUGGGAAGAUCCCACUUACUGCGGAGCAACUAAGCCCUUUGCCACAACUUCUGAGCCUGUGCUCUGGAGCCCGGGAGCCGCGACUCCUGGGCCCAUGAGCCCCAGCUAAUGGAGCCUGCAUGCCGUAGGCCUGUGCUCCUCAAUGAGAGGCCCCACCGCAGUGAGAAGCCUAUACAAUGCAACUCAAGAGGAGCCCCUGCUCGCCACAAAUAGAGAAGACCCCGAGCAGCAAGGAAGACCC
ensembl:lncRNA